UGUUGUAAUGUACUUGUACUACAUCAGUUGAUCUUGGCCAUGUCAGUGCGGAUAUUUUUACUCGCUGUUAUGACUUGCUUCUUAUGCUCUGCAGUAUAUCUGUUUCCACGUCUUAUGAGAAUUCAUACACUGCCUUCUCAUCGAUUGCCACCACCUCCACUUCAAAGUGACUUUGAAGGGAUAAAUAGGAACAUUCAAGAUUCACUGUUGCAGUCUGCCUACAACGUACCUCCCAUAAAAUGCCUACCAAAGGGACAAUGCCAGCCAACCCGACACAUCAUGUUUCUAAAAGUGCACAAAUGCGGCUCAACUACAGUGAGGAAAAUUUUAGAACAGGCUACUCUUAAAUAUAAGUUAAAACGUCUUUCUCCGAAGCAUAACAACAUAUUUUACCCAAAAUCUAAGUUCAAUUCGACCCGCAAGAAAAUAACCGUUAACGACGCCAACUAUAACCCGAAUGUAACCUAUGAUAUAAUUUUCAAUCACAUGAUUUUUGACUCAAGAGUAAUAGAAACCAUGAUGCCGAAUGAUACGUUUUAUAUUGGUAUAGUUCGCGAACCAUUUUCUCAGUUUCAAAGCGGGUUCAAUUUUUUUCAUAUUUCAAGUAAAUUCAAUUUAACAAACACCACGAACCCGGUCGUGGAAUUUAUGGAAAAUCCAUACAAGUAUUGGACCGACGCCUAUGUCACAACCCGUGUAGGCUUCUUGAGAAACGCCAUGAUAUAUGCGUUUGGGUUCCCAGACGAUAGAAAUGAUCUUAGGAACAACGACAGAUUCAUUGCCGAGUACAUUGAUUUCUUGGACAAGAAGUUCGAUUUUGUAAUCGUCUUGGAAAUGUUGGAUGAAAGUUUGGUGCUACUACGCCGCUUGCUGUGCUGGGGUAUGGACGACGUCUUAUAUGUUGUUUCUAACAAACAGGAAUAUGAAUAUAAAAAUGUGAAAGACGAAAUUACUGUAAAGAAACAUAGGCAAUGGAGCAAAGCUGACUAUCAGUUAUAUAAUCACUUCCUGACAAAGUUACAAAACACUCUUAUGUUGCAAGGGUCGGAUUUCAAUCGUGAGGUGUUGCUUUUCCGUAAAGCAAUCUCGGCACUCGGCAAAUGUAAGCGUUCACGUUUAGAAGUUUGCAAAAAUAAUUUCAAAAAUCUAUUAGCAGGCAUAUAUCCACAUUGCUAAGUCUUCAGCAAUUCCAGAGCAACUGAGUGAUGGUGGAAAUCAUAGUUUUAAAUAAUGGAAAAGAGGUGACAACCUUAGUUUAAAAGACAGGAGUACAACUAGCCUAGCAGAUGAAUAAUUAAAGCUGUGCAAAUUAAUUUCAUGAAUUAUUUUAUCACUCACGGUAUGUGGACUUGCAGUGAUGGGCGCUGGCCAAAGCUGUGAAAUUCACCGGAUAAAUAGGAACAUUCAAGAUUCACUGUUGCAGUCUGCCUACAACGUACCUCCCAUAAAAUGCCUACCAAAGGACCAAUGCCAGCCAACCCGACAUAUUAUGUUUCUAAAAGUGCACAAAGGCGGCUCAGGAACAAUGAAGAAAAUUUUAGAACAGGCUUCUCUUAAAUAUAAGUUAAAACGUC